rnacentral:rRNA from 1 species
AUUGAACGCUGGCGGCAGGCCUAACACAUGCAAGUCGAACGAGUGGCGGACGGGAGAGUAAUGUAUGGGAAACUGCCCGAUGGAGGGGGAUAACUACUGGAAACGGUAGCUAAUACCGCAUACUAUCGGAUGUGCCCAGAUGGUAUUAUCUUGUAGGUGGGGUAAAGGCUCACCUAGGCGGCGAUCCCUAGCUGGUCUGAGAGGAUGACAGGCAACACGGGAACGGGGACGCGGUCCAGAAUGCUAGGGGAGGCAGUAGUGGGGAAUAUUGCACAAGGGGCGGUAGCCUAAUGCAGCCAUGCCGCGUGUAUGAAGAGGACCUUCGAGUUGUAAAGUACUUUCAGCGAGGAGGCGUUACUCGAAGAAGAAGCACCGGCUAACUCCGUGCCAGCAGCCGCGGUAAUUC